GACAGAGGGUGCAAACGUUGUUCGGAAUCACUGGGCGUAAAGCGCCCGCAGGCGGCCUGACAAGUCGGAUGUGAAAGCCCUGGGCUCAACUCAGGAAUUGCAUUCGAAACUGGCAGGCUUGAGUACGGGAGAGGGGGGUGGAAUUCCUGGUGUAGGGGUGAAAUUCGUUGAUAUCAGGAGGAACACCGGCGGCGAAGGCGGCCCCCUGGCCCGCAACUGACGCUCAUGGUCGAAAGCGUGGGGAGCAAACAGG
rnacentral:rRNA from 1 species